CAUCAGGGAGUUCACCGCUAGCCGGAUUUCAGAAACACUGCAUGCAGAUCAAGAUCAGCAACCGGACAUAUAUUGAUGGAAAAUGGCAAAUAUCUCUGGAGAAGCCAAAACAGAAGAACUGUGCUUUGUUCAGCAGCAUAAGGGAGAUGGCUGGCCAUGGAAACCUGCCAUCCAAGCUCUCAGACAGGAGUUAGUGGUUUAGAUGGGAUCUAUCUGGUGGGCCAAAUCCUGCAGUUUUCUAUCCUCGCUUUACACCUGGAAUCCGAUUCAAAAGGCAACCUGGACCCCACCUGUCAGCGACUCCCAUCCACUAUUCCAACAGGGCUUAGGUGUGAUGCAGGACACGGAGACAGCGGUGGCCUGACGGAUCACCGGAGCCUUUUUGUCAUCACCUUCCCUCCGGUUUGGUUGGCCUCACGUACGCCACCAAACCAAAUAGUAGUAACCAAAUCCGUUAAUUAAUUAAUUAUUAACUCCUACUUUGGGGACCAAAUCAGCCAUCAGAUUUCUCCUACUGAAUAGUAGCAAUAAUAUGUUAGCUCAAUGCGAUGCAGUAUUGAGGUGUGUGUUGGUGGUGAUUUUUUUUCUUUUUGAAACCUAAGCCAUCUACCGCUGGUUUUAUAUUAAGAGAGGGAAAGACUGUACUGAUGUUGGUGGUGAUUUGAUUAAGAUAUUACUUUGGUUGGUUGGGUGGCAUUGUACUGUA